CCAUGGCAACCGCUAAUUUAUGACAGUUUUUUUGUAUGAGUGUGUUGCCUUUUUUUCCUGCCUUCCUGCGACUCGCAACAUCUCGCCUUUAAGAGAAAUAACGGAAGCCGCGGCCGUUUCUGAGCCUUAGCAUCCAUUAAACACUGGAAGAGAAUGCUUUAAGACAUGGAGAUGGUCUACGUGGAAGGAUACUUUUCUACUUCAAGAGAUAGCGAGCUGAUGGAUGAGGAAGAACAUUAGCCCGUGUGGAUGAUAAUCUAUAAAAUAUCAAUGUGAAUGAAUUUAGAAUGGGAAGAGGGUAAGGGUUUUUGGCCAAUGGCUUACAGAAAGCCACAGCUUCAGUCGGAAGCCAGAACAAACACACUGUUCCUCCUGGCUCAACAUUCAGUUCCAUAAACAUUGUUUAAGGACCACUGAUUUGGCUGCUUCAGACCUGAGAAAACUAACCGCAACAUCUAUGGUGCACUCUAUCAUCAAGGACACUCAUACUGUGAAUGGUGGUUUGCAAACUAAUUGGCCAUGCGUAAUGGAAAAGCUUGCUUACCCUCCAUGCAUCUCACACUUGACUGAACAAAAAGUUUGGCAUUUCUAAGGAUUAACUGAUGAUUUAGAGUCAAAGUAGCCUGAUUUCCGUUAUGCUGUAACUGCCAGUUUUCAGGCAUAUCACUAUCAAGUUUGUAUUCCAUGAAUUUGUUAGCUUGACAACAGCCACAAAUAUCACUUUAAUAGAUAGUUUUUAGGAUACCAAAGGAAAACCAAAGGAUGCUUGUCUUUACCAAGCAGAAAACAUAUAGUAUUCAAAUUAAACCAUCCUUGAAAAGCAUUGAAAGCAUUUUUCGAUUCAAGUUGUACUGAUAAUAUUUGUAGUUAUAAACCAAUUAUGGCAAAAGCAUUAAAAUAUAUUAAAGUGCACAAUUUUCUUGCAAGAAAUUCAAUUGUGAAAUGAUUUGCAAGACCAGAGUGUGCCAUGGACACAAUAAACUGCUUUUAGAACAUGUUAUGUAAGCUGUAUUAGCUAAUCUGUCAGGAAGCCAAGGAGUUCAAUUCUGCUGUCAACAUGGUUCCACAUAUCCCAAUUCAAAUCAUUUGUAGAUUCACCCAACAGUUUUACAGCUUCUUUUGUCAUAUUUGGCUUCAUUUUUAAUCUGUUGCUACUUACAUUUUGUUUGUUUUUGAGGCAUUAGGUAGAAUUUUUUCAUCCUGCUUCCAGGUGUUGCAGGCACCAGUGGGUUUUCCACAGGAACUUCCUCAUUCAAUGGUUUAUUAAGAAGUGGAGGAUUAACUGAAGAAUAUUCUUUGUACCUGUUAACUGGCACCUGAAACACAUACAAGGACACCAACAGAAGUAAAGCUGAUAUGAUGGACCUGAUGAAACCACUAAAAUAUGUGCAUACCUGACAGAUUUUAAUUGCUGUAUGUCCUGUAUUUCAUUCUUAUGUAAGAACAAAUAUUUGGAGAAGGAAUCUUACAGUAUAGAACCAACUAAUACAUUAUAAAAUACAAGGAGUUCUCAUUUUCAGUCUCAUCUUUCAAAACCUUUUUCUGAUUAAAGUUCUUUUUAAGCAUUUA